UUUUAUGUACGUGGCCACGUCCUCCCAUGUCUCACCCCCUUUUCCCUCUGAUGAAACCUCCCACGCAGCUCCUUCUCUUUCCGCCAUCCCCGCCAGUCUGCCACCACGCGCCAAUCCCGUCGUCGCCCGUCGAUUCGGCACGCAGUUCCACCCUCGUCUCUCUCCCUGGUCCAGCAACGUCACCCAGCCCCUUAGCUUUUCCUCCCGGCGCGAAAAUGUCCUUUUGACUCCCGUCUCCGUCUUGUUGGCCCGCAGAUCUGGCAGCCCUCGGCCACGACGCUGCGAGCUCUGGCCGGCUUGACCUCGUCGCCCCCAUCCAAUAGGUGCUCGACACCGCUCCUCGGGACCGCGGCGGUCUUCUUCAUGGUCUCUCUCUCCCUUCACCUCCUACGCCAUGUAUCAGCCCCUUCCUGAAGCUCCUCCUCAUCCGUGUGCCCCCCUGAUGUCGCCGAGUGGACCACGCCCACUCCCGCCUCCGCCCGCCUGUACCAGGUCCGGUCGCCUCUUCCUUUGGGCUUUGCGCAAUUCGUCGAGCAGGUCAUAUAUGUGGCGUGUGUACGUGUGCUUUUGUAAUGGAUGGUGGGAUUGUGUUCUGGUGGUUGGGGUGCAGGAUUUGCUCCUGUUGUUCAAGUUGAAUACCGGGGAGAUGGAGGAGAUGGUGCCAUGAAGGGCUAGUGUGGUGGUGAGGUUCAAGUUCUAUAACGAGGCCAUGGUUGUUUGCAUGUCUGUUUAGUUUUUUUUUCUUUUGUAUGGUUGUUGAAAAACAAAGCCGAGCCUAUUAGUUUGGAAAAUAAAGUCAAGCCUAUGUGUUGAAAAAUAGUUUGAUUAACUAGCAAGUGGCCAUUUGCGCCGGUGAGUUGAGCUGGCUAGCUUGUGUUGAUGCAUGCAUGUUUGGUCAAGGCUAGCUAGUUGCAGCAGUUGGGAAUAGUACAUAAGAGAAGAGACCCUAUAUCAGCGUGUGUAAUCAGGACUGGCAUGUAUACUUGAUACUACUGUAUAGCUUAACUAGCAGUCCCUGUAAGCAAACCAACUAACAUUGAAGAGGUCCUCCAUUCAUGUCAUAGUACGUACAUUCCUAGUUCUUUUUCCUUCAGUUUUGGUUCGUAGAUGUAAUUGUAAGUUUUGUAAUCUCGCUUUUGCUUUUCUUAUCAGUAUUUUGUAGUUCUGUAACAUUUAACUUGUAUGCCUAAGGCUGAAGCAGUCACUGACAUGUUAACAUCAUGUCCCGUGUGUUCUUUCUCAAAGAUGUAGAGCAGGGGUUCUUACAGUUUGAUAAAUAUAGGCCACAUCAGAUUCUGAAGGCGGCUUUGAAAGGGGUGAGAUGAUGCUCGUCAAGACUAACUGAAAAGGUUAGUCCAUCAUGUCUUACCCAUUUAGUUAUGCGCCAAUUUAGUUCUGGACAACAUGAGCAUGCUGCGGAUAACUUGCUUUGAGACAUGCUCUUUUUAUUUGAGCCUGAUUUCUUAGAUUACCUCAUUGCCUACGUGGUACUGUUGUAUUGUAUAUGAUGUAUGCACCUGCUUAUGCCCUAUUUUCCCAGAUGUGGCUCAUAACUGAGAUAUCUAUCUAUUAAAUCCAUCUUAAUUAAGGUGCGAUGGCACAAUUUGGUUGAACUCAUAUAGGAAAAGAUGUUGCUAUAAUCAAUUACAGUAAAAUCAUUUGCACAGAGAAAAAUAUUUCAACAUUAGACAAUAUGAUCUGGCAUGUUUGACCCUCAUCAGGCGUCCUCCUUUCUAGCUUUUGUUUUUCCCUGUACUAGCUUUGCCUCUUUUGGUCCUCAGCUUUCCAGACCUUGAUGCUUUUGAGAAUGUCCAGCAAACUUGGUUUCAUUUUAGUAAUGGAACCAGGGGGCCGCCUCUCUGUUUAUCUAAAAAAGUGGACAGUAUUGAAUUUUUUUGGAAGUGCAUACAGAAAUAAUGGUAGCUUAACAUGAAGAAUGAUUGUGACCUGUCAUACGAAACAUUAGAAGUUGCUUAAUUUGCUAUGCGCAAUAUAACCUAAACUAUUGUUGGUGGAGAUUAGUGUGCUACUGCUAUUUAAUUUGUUUGAAUGAAAAAUUAUAUUUAUAUCUUUCUUUACAUGACAUUCUUAAUCUGUUUUUUGUAUUUAUUGUAUGCCCAAACUAGCCAAUAGUGUUAUGCUAGUCUACUGCUUCUGUUGUGUCAUCAGACUGCAAAAUAUAAGCGCUAGUAUAUAUACUUCAGUGGGGUUGCAGAUGUCUGUUGUACAUUUGUACUUGGUUAUCAUUUUACAACUUCAACAAGCCAAUGAAUCGAUUAUCGAUACGACAUAUGUGUCUUUCAGAUAAGGUUUUUUUUACCUGUAUCACCUGGCCAUCUUGGUGUAACCAUAGUACAUGCGGGUUCUGGACAUAGGAUUGUUAUAGUUAAUUAAAAAAUGUCAUGUGCUUCGAAUUAUAUUAAUGUUACAAGUAAUUUGAAAAGCAUGAUGUGUUCUGAACCGUUGCAAACUUAUAAUGAAAUUGACAUUAGUGCAGUUUAUUGGUAUAUUCCUUUUGUACACAGAGCAACGUGUAGUACUCAGUCUAUUACUUGGAGUUGCGUUCCUGCUGAUUCAUGUAAACCUGAAAAUUGCAUGUGAAGGACCAAAAGGAAUGGGAGACAAUACUGAAGAAUCAUGAUCUAUGGCAAGGGUGAUGAUGUCUAUGGCGAUGAGUGUUAUGAUCUAUUUGGCGACGAGCAUUAUGAUCCAUAUGGUGAUGAAGGGUGACGAGUCUGGUGAUCUUUCUUCAAGACGUUCAACAAAGUGAAAUCAUGGGGUUUUGGUCAAUCUAGCUUAUGAAUAAUGCUUGGACCAUUAUAUCUUAGUUUUUUUUGCAUUUUAAACUUUCUAGAUUGUUCAUCAUGAUCAAUGUAAUUCUGAUGCAACUCUUCUGAUAUUUUGAAAGUUGUGCUAUAUACAAUAUAUGUUACUUGGUCA